AAGCUCCGCCCCGCACCGGCAGCUCCGCCGUGAGGCAGGGAAACCCUAUGCCCUGAACAGCGUCCCCUGGGGGUGCCUGCCCCCAGUUCCCCCCCACUCCGGCAGCAACGCUUGAGGGUCACAGACGUGUAUUGGGGUGUGGUAGCGCUGGAGACGGUCCCCCAACAGAGUGCCAGGCCAGCGGCAGGUCCUUGAGGAACAAGGUGAUGCAACAGGUGUGCGGCAAGCACAGCCCCUCUGGGACACAGCCCCCCCAGCAUCCACAGCUCCCUGCCAAAC
rnacentral:lncRNA from 1 species